rnacentral:piRNA from 3 species
CAGACAUUUGGUGUAUGUGCUUGGCUG